rnacentral:misc_RNA from 1 species
AUGUGGAUUUCUACAUUGAUGAUGUAUGUUAUUCUCUGGGUUAUUGGUUAUUAUGUUAUUCAUGGAAGACUUGUUUUAGAUUCUAUUCGAGAUUCACAUUCAUGACAAACAUUUUUGCAUAGUUUCUUUUCUUCUCCUCCUUUUUAAUUUAAAGAUUCUGUUUGAAAAAUAUACAUAUUGCAAGAUUCGAGUUGUGAAUUGUAUGGUUUGUCCACAUUUUUAGUAAAUUUGAUUCACAUGUCUGAUUUGUGUCCUUCGAUGCCUAAAUUAAAUUGAAUUGAAUCAUAUGAUUGGAAUCAGUGAUUGUACAAUUCUAACAACUCCGCUCAAUUUUUGCCAUAUUUUUCUGGAAAACUUAAGGUUCUGUUGCAGAACUUACUUCUUGUGUUCAUGUGAAAUGAGUUUAUAUUCAUGACAAUUUAGACUCUGUGAAGUUGAUUGACUUGUUCAUGUGU